UGGGAAUUAUCUCAGCGGUAGAGAGCACAACUGAUAAUUGUGAGGUCACUGGUUCAAAUCCAGUAUUCCCAA
rnacentral:tRNA from 2 species